CAGAGGGUGCAAGCGUUGUUCGGAAUUAUUGGGCGUAAAGCGCGUGUAGGCGGCUUUGCAAGUCGGGUGUGAAAUCCCUCAGCUUAACUGAGGAAGUGCGCCCGAAACUGCAGAGCUUGAGUGCCAGAGAGGGUGGCGGAAUUCCCCAAGUAGAGGUGAAAUUCGUAGAUAUGGGGAGGAACACCGGUGGCGAAGGCGGCCACCUGGCUGGUAACUGACGCUGAGACGCGAAAGCAUGGGGAGCAAACAGGAUUAGAUACCCUGGUAGUCCAUGCCGUAAACGAUGAGAACUAGGUGUCGUGGGUGUUGACCCCCGCGGUGCCGUAGCUAACGCAUUAAGUUCUCCGCCUGGGAAGUACGGCCGCAAGGCUA
rnacentral:rRNA from 1 species